CAGCUGGCCUUUCACUGUGGAAGACAGAGCAUUUCACCCACUAAGAGUACCCAUUGUGCGGCAAACGUGACUAACAAGUCCCUGGGGUGAAGAGUGUAAAACCGCACACUCUUCAGAGGAAGACCAGAUGACCAGGCUGGAGCUCAAAAGAAAACCCAACUUCCACGCCCCCACUUUGCUCAGAAGGGCUGAGGUUAGGGAACCAGGCCAAGUAUAGGGGUAGUGAAUGAAAGGAAGGGCUACAUCUGGACUCAGAGGCUGCCCUGGAGGAUGCCAGGGAGAGGAGAGAUAGAAAUUCCCACCCUUAGCCUCCAAAUGCACACUGAAUGAAGACAUUUCUAAGAGGGAGAUCUGCAACUCGUUAGCACUAUCAAGCCCCACACCCCAGAUGUUAAUAUGUGCCUAACGUCUCUCUGCCUUGCAAAAAGGGAUCAGACAAUUCUUCCCUGGAAGCUGCCUCUGUGACAAUUAAAAGCUGGAGAACUACAAUGCCUGAACCCGUAGCUUGGGGCACUAGAGCCAAGACUCUAGAUGCCAGGAAAAGGGGCCAGCAGCUGCCAGGCAGUUCCACGGGAAAGCCUCACAUGGAUGACAUAAUGUAGGUGUGACAAUCACCAUCUACAGCAGCUGUGGAAAAGACCUUAUGCAAAAGAGCAAGGAAGGAGAUGCAAUUCUUAUCUUCCAUGAUAUAUAUCUCAGUUAGGGACAUAGUAGCACCAAGACGGCUGACAGCGGAAGAGACUAGGCAUCAACCACAGGAGUGGUCCUGUAUAGGGCAUGAACAAACAGAACAGACAGAGAUCCAACUCACAGUGUGAUGGUCAAAUGGGUUUGUGUUCAUCCAUCCACCCACUCCACCCAUCCAUCCAUCUGCCUAUCUACCCACCCACGACCUACCCAUUCAGGGUUUGUUGAACACCUAACAAAAUUACCUAUACUGUUUAGGCACCAGAGAGACCAGGAAAGAAUGCUGGAGAACUGGGUAACCAGUACUCAAAAGCCCCUGAGUUAACCACUUCAAUUAAACCCAUAUAACAACCUGUAAA